AGGACGAACGCUGGCGGCGUGCUUAACACAUGCAAGUCGAGCGGAAAGGCCCUUCGGGGUACUCGAGCGGCGAACGGGUGAGUAACACGUGAGUAAUCUGCCCCUAGCUCUGGGAUAGCUCCGGGAAACCGGGAUUAAUACCAGAUAUGACCACUUUAGACAUCUGCUGUGGUGGAAAGAAUUUCGGCUAGGGAUGAGCUCGCGGCCUAUCAGCUUGUUGGUGGGGUAACGGCCUACCAAGGCGACGACGGGUA
rnacentral:rRNA from 1 species